ensembl:lncRNA
GCACACCAGCACCAAAAAAAUCCUGCAACAAGUUGGCUUUUUUGAGCUGCACCUUGUUUUUCGCAGCAGUCAUUUUUAACAGUGUGCUUUUUAUAAAAUAGUUCUGCUCUUGCUGCUUUGAUGAUCAUGGCUUGCGAUUCUUUUUUUUUUUUGGCCAACGUUUUUUUUUUUUUUUUUUUGGUUGCAAUAAGUGAUUGUGAUUCUUCUUUUUAUCGAACUAGGUUCCGUUUUAAUAGUAGUUGUGGGUGUUGGUGGACUUUUUCCCCUCCCACACCCCCAGAUCACACGGCUCUCUCCAGCCCAUGAUGGAGGACUUUUUAUGGUAACAUGUUGUCUUGCUGCCGUCAGUCUGUUUGCUCCGUGGUGCUGCUGCUGAAGAAGAUGGCUGUGUUGUCCAAGUGCGUUACACAUCACUAGGUGGAAGACGUGCUGUUUGUAAGUGCAGGCACCUCUGUAGGAAGUAUUGCACCCCUCUCUCCAUGUCCGCCCUCUCUCUCCCUCUCCCUCCCUACCUCUCUUCCUCCCUCCCGCCCGCCCUCUCUCUCUCUCUCUCUCGCUCUCUCUCUCGCUCUCUCUGUUUCUCUGCGUCGCGUACUCCAUCGUCGACUCAUUUGCCGGCCUGGGGUGGGAGAGGCCUGUGUCGUAGAGCUCUUUCUGGGACAGGUGCCAAUUCCAGACAAAAGACAGAAAAAGCAGGGACCUACAUCCCGAGAAAUACAGAGGAAGAAAGGAAAAAGAGAAAGGAUGCGUUUCUUGGUUUUGAAACACCCUGCGCAGACCGCUGGCACCUGCAGCUUUUUUCUGAAUUUGUGUAAGUCACACAUCUGCAUGUGAGUGUCUGUCUGUCUGUGUGUGUGUGUGUGUGUGUGUGUGUGUCUGUGCAUUAGUCUGCGUGUGUCUGAGUGUGUCUGCAUUUGCCAGCCUGUGUGUGACUGGGCUUGCUUCUCUCUCUCUCUCUCUCUCUCUCUCUCUCCCCCUCUCACUGUAUUUCAGUAUUUGUACGUGUGUAAUAUGUCUACAGGCUUUAAGCAUGUUCUGUUAUUUGGAACCCCCCCCCCCCCCCCCCCACACACACACACACACACACACACACACAUGCGCGCGCACGCAAAGAUAUAAAUUUUUGAUUGCAAGUAACUGUGGUUGUCCUACAUGCUAAGGCAUGAUCAUCAUGGAGAUAAUGGUGUUUAAACAAGGACUUGAAAUGUGCUUCUCAUCGUAACAUUUUGUAUAUUAACAGACAUUAAUGUAUUUUGCUUUAGGAAUUUAAAGUAAAUUAAAAAAAUUAUAAGAAAAUCUUUUUUCUCUGAAUUACUCAUAAGUGUGAAGGACAAUAUAAUACAUUUUUCUUGUUUUCCUUUUAAUUACAUGAUCAGAUCGGCAGCUGUUCUGUCCUAUUGUAACUCAAAACUUGUUUUUCAUCCAGUUGAAUUUUUUACCGAGCUUGUAGGGUUAUGAGAGAAGUGUUUUCUGGCUGUAGUUAGUUAUUUGUUGUUUAGUUAUUUGUGGAAAAGGAUGUACUGGAUGAGGCUUGGGCACGUCUGGGAAGUGUUCCAGGCAGUUGAAGCCGUGCCGUGCCUUUUCGGUGGAACACCGUUCUAUUCUAUUACACUAUUGAAAUCGUAGCGCUUUAAUGCCCCUGGAAUUAGAUCAUGGUUCUUUAAUUUUGAAAAUCAGGUUUUUUUUUCCAAUUUUAUCUAAGCUAAAUAUCAACUUGUGUAUUUUUACGAUUUACCUUCUGUAGCAACAGGAGUGUUUUAUACUCGUGUGUACAGUCUUCAAGGACAUUCUUACACACAGACAUACAGUUUUAUUUACUCACAACUCCAGGUUUCAAUUAAUUACGUAAAUUUAAUUACAGGUAUAAAUGCACUGGUGUUAAUAAAUUAAUGUGUUAAGAGAAUUAUCUUAUUAGA